AAUUGUGACUGAUUUUACAUUUGCUGGAUUCACAAUUCCGAAAGGAUGGAAGACAUUUUGGAUGGUCCAUACAACAAACAAAAAUCCGAAAUACUUUCCCAAUCCAGAAACAUUUGAUCCAUCAAGAUUCCAAGGAAGUGGACCUGCUCCUUACACAUUUGUUCCUUUUGGUGGAGGAUCAAGCAUGUGUCCCGGAAAAGAGUAUAGUCGUCUUCAAAUUUUAGUGUUUCUUCAUAAUGUUGUUACUAGAUUCAUAUUGGAAAUAACCUGUACCAGUCCCCAAGAAAAUAUAGUAUUCCGAUCUUUCCCUGUACCAGUCGAAGGUCUUCCACUCCGAGUAAUUCGCCAUGAAACUUAGGGGGUGUUUGGCCGGGUUUAAAAGUCCAACUUGUAGGUUUAUAAGUUAGAAGCACUUAUUCGUACCGUUUGUAUAAAAAGUCAAGAAGUACUGCUAGAUUUUGUUUUAUGAUUUC